AUUGAACGCUGGCGGCAGGCCUAACACAUGCAAGUCGAGCGUGAAAGCCCUUCGGGGUGAGUAGAGCGGCGGACGGGUGAGUAACGCGUAGAAAUCUACCUAGUAGUGGGGGACAACCUGGUGAAAACCAGGCUAAUACCGCAUACGUCCUACGGGAGAAAGCAGGGGAUCUUUGGACCUUGCGCUAUUAGAUGAGUCUGCGUUGGAUUAGCUAGUUGGUGGGGUAAAAGCCUACCAAGGCGACGAUCCAUAGCUGUUCUGAGAGGAAGAUCAGCCACACUGGAACUGAGACACGGUCCAGACUCCUACGGGAGGCAGCAGUGGGGAAUAUUGCACAAUGGGCGAAAGCCUGAUGCAGCCAUGCCGCGUGUGUGAAGAAGGCUCUAGGGUUGUAAAGCACUUUCAAUUGGGAGAAAAAGCUAAUGGUUAAUACCCAUUAGCCUUGAUGUUACCUUUAGAAGAAGCACCGGCUAACUCCG
rnacentral:rRNA from 1 species